rnacentral:rRNA from 1 species
CCUACGGGUGGCUGCAGUGAGGAAUAUUGGUCAAUGGACGAGAGUCUGAACCAGCCAAGUAGCGUGAAGGAUGACUGCCCUCUGGGUUGUAAACUUCUUUUAUAUGGGAAUAAAAUGUUCCACGUGUGGGAUUUUGUAUGUACCAUAUGAAUAAGGAUCGGCUAACUCCGUGCCAGCAGCCGCGGUAAUACGGAGGAUCCGAGCGUUAUCCGGAUUUAUUGGGUUUAAAGGGAGCGUCGGUGGAUUGUUAAGUCAGUUGUGAAAGUUUGCGGCUCAACCGUAAAAUUGCAGUUGAAACUGGCAGUCUUGAGUACAGUAGAGGUGGGCGGAAUUCGUGGUGUAGCGGUGAAAUGCUUAGAUAUCACGAAGAACUCCGAUUGCGAAGGCAGUUCACUGGACUGCAACUGACACUGAGGCUCGAAAGUGUGGGUAUCAAACAGGAUUAGAUACCCGAGUAGUC